rnacentral:rRNA from 1 species
AUUGAACGCUGGCGGCAGGCCUAACACAUGCAAGUCGAGCGGCAGCGGGAAAGUAGCUUGCUACUUUUGCCGGCGAGCGGCGGACGGGUGCGUAAUGCCUGGGAAAUUGCCCAGUCGAGGGGGAUAACAGCUGGACACGACUGCUAAUACCGCAUACGCCCUACGGGGGAAAGCAGGGGACAUUCGGGCCUGGCGUGAUGGGUUAUGCCCAGGUGGGAUUAGCUAGUUGGUGAGGUAAUGGCCCACCAAGGCGACGAUCCCUAGCUGGGCUGAGAGGAUGAUCAGCCACACUGGAACUGAGACACGGUCCAGACUCCUACGGGAGGCAGCAGUGGGGAAUAUUGCACAAUGGGGGAAACCCUGAUGCAGCCAUGCCGCGUGUGUGAAGAAGGCCUUCGGGUUGUAAAGCACUUUCAGCGAGGAGGAAAGGUUGAUGCCUAAUACGUAUCAACUGUGACGUUACUCGCAGAAGAAGCACCGGCUAACUCCGUGCCAGCCGCCGCGGUAAUAC